UGGCUCAGAUUGAACGCUGGCGGCAUGCCUUACACAUGCAAGUCGAACGGUAGAGUAGCAAUACUCGAGAGUGGCGAACGGGUGAGUAAUAUAUCGGAACGUGCCCAAUCGUGGGGGAUAACGUAGAGAAAUUUACGCUAAUACCGCAUACGAUCUAAGGAUGAAAGCGGGGGAUCGCAAGACCUCGCGCGAUUGGAGCGGCUGAUAUCAGAUUAGGUUGUUGGUGAGGUAAAAGCUCACCAAGCCGACGAUCUGUAGCUGGUUUGAGAGAACGACCAGCCACACUGGGACUGAGACACGGCCCAGACUCCUACGGGAGGCAGCAGUGGGGAAUUUUGGACAAUGGGCGAAAGCCUGAUCCAGCAAUGCCGCGUGCAGGAAGAAGGCCUUCGGGUUGUAAACUGCUUUUGUACGGAACGAAACGGCUCUUUCUAAUAAAGAGGGCUAAUGACGGUACCGUAAGAAUAAGCACCGGCUAACUACGUGCCAGCAGCCGCGGUAAUACGUAGGGUGCAAGCGUUAAUCGGAAUUACUGGGCGUAAAGCGUGCGCAGGCGGUUAUGUAAGACAGUUGU
rnacentral:rRNA from 1 species